CCCCUGGUGGCUCAGACGGUAAAGCGUCUGCCUGCAAUGCAGGAGACCCGGGUUCGAUUCCUGGGUCGGGAA
rnacentral:tRNA from 1 species